GUGCUCGCUUUGGCAGCACAUAUACUAAAAUUGGAAUGAUACAGAGAUUAGCAUGGCCCCUGAGCAAGGACGCCAUGCAAAUUUGUGAAGUGUUCCAUAUUUUU
ensembl:snRNA U6 U6 spliceosomal RNA